AUAUAUACAUGACUCUUGCCAAAGCAGUAAGCGAUGCGGCCGCUGGCCAUGAACGAGGCAUGCAGGCACCUAGAGGAGUGGAUUAUGUCAUUGGUGCCUAUGAUGGAAUGUAUACCGAAGGACUCGCCCGGAGGAAGAGUACGGGAAAUGUUCGAAAAAGUUGUCAAGGAGGCGAUUCGCUUCAUCCGUAAAGUCGGAGACUACAAUAGGCUCAUGAUCACGAUUAAAGGGAAAGACAUCAG